UACAGAGGGGGCAAGCGUUGUUCGGAAUUACUGGGCGUAAAGGGCGCGUAGGCGGCCUGCUAAGUCGAACGUGAAAUCCCUGGGCUCAACCCAGGAACUGCGUCCGAUACUGGUUGGCUUGAAUCCGGGAGAGGGACGUGGAAUUCCAGGUGUAGCGGUGAAAUGCGUAGAUAUCUGGAGGAACACCGGUGGCGAAGGCGACGUCCUGGACCGGCAUUGACGCUGAGGCGCGAAAGCCAGGGGA
rnacentral:rRNA from 1 species